UAUGUGAUCGUCUCUCGCAUAUCAAUAAGCGGAGGAAAAGAAACUAACAAGGAUUCCCCUAGUAACGGCGAGUGAAGCGGGAAGAGCUCAAAUUUGAAAUCUUAAAGGGUUUCCCUUUACGAAUUGUAGUUUAAAGAAGUGUUUUCUGUUGAGGUUUUGGUAAAAGUUCUUUGGAAUAGGACAUCAUAGAGGGUGAGAAUCCCGUAUUUGACCUUUACUUUCAACUUUGUGAUACACUUUCAAAGAGUCGGAUUGUUUGGGAAUGCAGUCCAAAAUGGGUGGUAAAUUUCAUCUAAAGCUAAAUAUUGGCGAGAGACCGAUAGCGAACAAGUACCGUGAGGGAAAGAUGAAAAGAACUUUGAAAAGAGAGUUAAACAGUACGUGAAAUUGUCAAAAGGGAAGCGUUUGACACCAGUGUUGUUUUUCUGAAAAUCAAUUAAAGAACUGUUUAUGCUAAGUUGUUUAGACUUUAUCAGCUAACUGUUUAGUUUUGAGCUUUUCUUUAAUGCACUUUUCAGUUAACAAGUCAACAUCAAUUUCUUUUGCUGUAAAAAAGCUUGAGGAAGGUGGCUUGAGAUUCGUCUUAAGUGUUUAUAGCCUCUUGCCUAUGCAGUCGGAGAGAUUGAGGGUCUGCAGCGUAGAUCCUUCGGGGCUAAAUGCAUUUGUGCUAAGUUAUAGCAUUUUAUAGACAACUUGUUGACUAUGAUUUGUCUUGUAGCUUACUCGCUUAUGUUAUUUUACCUACGCUUAGGAUGUUGAUCUACAGAGCGAGAGU
rnacentral:rRNA from 1 species